AUUUUGACUAUGCUAAGUACCUUCUAUAAGUGGAAUCAUACAAUAUUUUUUGUGUGUAACUGGCUUACUUCAUCUAGCAUAAUAUCCCUAAGGGUCAUCCAUAUUGUAAUGUCUGAAAAUUUUUUUGUUUUUUAAGGCUGAAUAAUAUUUCAUUGUAUGUAUAUGCCACAUUUGGCUUAUCCAUUUAUUCACUGAUGAACACUGAUUGUUUCCAUAUUGUGUGUGUGUAUGUGUGUGUGUGUGUGUGUGUGUGUGUAUGGUUUUUUUUUGGAGACAGAGUCUCACUCUGUUGCCCAGGCUGGAGUGCAGUGGUGUGAUCUCCAUUCACUGCAACCACCACCUCCUGGGUUCAGGUGAUUCUCCUGCCUCAGCUUCCCGAGUAGCUAGGACUACAGGCAUGUGCCACGAUGCUGGGUUACUUUUUGUUGUUGUUGUUGUUUUGAUGCUCAAGUCAUUUAUUUAAAAUGAGGUGGUAUUUGCAUAUAAUCUAUGCAUAUCCUCUUGUAUACUUUAAAUCAUCUUUAGAUUACUUAUAAUACCCAAUACAAUGUAAAUGCUGUGUAAAUAGUUGUUAUACUGUAUUGUUUAGGGAAUAAUGAUAGAAGAAAAGGUAUGUACAUCUUCAGAACAGACACAAUCAUCAUAGGCCUAACUACAAUGUCCAUGUGUAGCUGGUUGAAUCAACAUGCAGAACCCAUGGAUACAGGCUGGGCGCAGUGGCUCACACCUGUAAUCCCAGCACUUUGGGAGGCUGAGGUGGGUGGAUCACCUGAGCUUAGGAGUUGAGACAGCCUGUCCAACACCAUGAAACCCCCGUCUCUACUAAAAAUACAAAAAUUAGCUGGGCAUGGUGGUGCACUUCUGUAAUCCCAGCUACUCAGGAGGCUGAGGCACAAGAAUUUCUUGAACCCGGAAGGUGGAGGUUGCAGGGAGCUGAAAUUGUGCAACUGCACUCCAGCCUGGGCAACAGAGUGAGACUCCAUCUCAAAAAAAAACAAAAAACAAAAAAACCAUGGAUACAGAGGGCGAGCUAUAUACAAAGAUAUGGAAUUGCUACAUUGUAUAAUAAUUCUAUUUUUAAUUUUUUGAGGAAUUGCUACACUGUUUUCCAUAGUAGCUGCACCAUUUUAAAUUGCCAGCAACAGUGCAUAAGGGUUCCACUUUCUCCAUAUCCUCUCCAACACUUGUUAUUUCUGGCAUCUUAGUUACUUUCUUUUUAAUAGUAACUAAAGGACACUUUUACAUGUAUAGAAUCCUUAGUUGACAGGUUUUUUUUUUUUCUUUUGAGACAGUCUUGCUGUCGCCCAGGCUGGAGUGCAGUGGCGCGAUCUCAGCUCACUGCAACCUCUGCCUCCUGGGUUCAAGUGAUUCUCCUGCCUCAGCCUCCAGAGUAGCUGGGAUUACAGGUGCCUGCCACCACGCCCAGCUAAUUUUUGUGUUUUUAGUAGAGAUGAGGUUUCACCAUGUUGGCCAGGCUGGUCUUGAACUGCUGACCUCAGGUGACCUGCCUGCCUUAGUCUCCCAAAGUGCUGGCAUUACAGGCAUGAGCCACCAUGCCUGGACUGUUUGUUCUUUUCUGUUUGCUCCUCAAAGUAAUUUCAAAUGUACUUUCUUCAAGUUUGUUCAUUCUCUUCUACCUGCUCGAUCCUUCCAUUGACUCUACUGAAUUUUUCAGUUUAGUUAUUGUAUUUUUCAUCUCCAGAAUUUUUGCUUAGGUUCUUUUUAUAAUUUCUAUCUCUUUAUUGAUAUUCUCAUUUUAUUAAUAUAUAAUUUUGCUGAUUUCCUUUAGUUCUUUGUCCAUGCUUUUCUUUAACUAUUCAAGCAUAUUUAAGAUGGUUUUAAGGUCUUUGUCUAGUAAGUCUGAUACCUGUGUCUCUUCAGGAAUAAUUUCUUUAUUUUCUUUUUAUGAGAUGCAGUCUUGCUCUGUGACUCAGGCUGGAGUGCAGUGGUGCAAUCUCAACUCACUGCAACCUCCCGGGUUCAAGUGAUUCUCCUGCCUUAGCCUCUUGAGUAGCUGGGAUUACAGGUGCCCACCACCACACCCAGCUCAUUUUUGUAUUUUUAGUAGAGACGGGGUUUCACCAUGUUGGCCAGGCUGGUCUUGAACUCCUGACCUCAAGUGAUCUGCCUGCCUCGGCCUCCCAAAGUGCUGGGAUUAGAGGCGUGAGCUAGUGCUCCCAGCCUCUCCAGAUAUAAUUUCUGCCACUUCAUUUUCUUCCUUGAAAUAGUCCAUGUUACCUUGGUUUUUUUUUUUUUUUUUUUUUUUGAGACGGAGUCUUGCUCUUUUGCCCAGGCCAGACUGCAGUGGCGCUAUCUCGGCUCACUGCAAGCUCCACCUCCCGGGUUCAUGCCAUUCUCCUGCCUCAGCCUCCAGAGUAGCUGGGACUACAGAAGUCCGCCACCACGCCCGGCUAAUAUUUUGUAUUUGUAGUAGAGAAGGGUUUCACCGUGUUAGCCAGGGUGGUCUUGAUCUCCUGGCCUCGUGAUCCACCUGCCUCAGCCUCCCAAAGUGCUGGGAUUACAGGCGUGAGCCACCGCACCCGGCCUUGUUUUUUUAAAUACAAUUUGUGAUUUUUGUUGUUGGAAAGUAGGCAUUUGAAAAGGCAGCCAUUUCUUUGUCUGCAGAUUGGGUCUGUGCCAGUGAACUCCUUCACUAAUUAGCAGGACAUUUUUUGUGUCUUGGGAUCGGCCUGAGGAGAAAGCAAAAUGUCUUGGUCCAUUUUGUGCUGCUAUUACAGAAUAUUACAGACUGGGUACUUUACAGAGAACAGAAAUGUAUUUCUCACAGUUCUGGAGGCUGGAAAGUCCAAGCAGAAGGUGCCCACAUCUGGUGUGAUAAGGGCUUUCUUGCUGGAUCCUCACAUGGCACAAGGCAGAGGGUACAAAGGGAUGAAAUGUGUGUCCUCACAUGGCAGUAAGCCCUUUAUACAGUGGUAUUAAUCCAUUAAUGAGGGCAGAGCCCUCAUGACCUCCCAUUAGGCCCCACCUCCCAAUACUAUUGUAAUGGGGAUUACAUUUCAACAUAAAUUUUUGGAGAAGAGAAAAACAUUCAAACCAUAGCAUUCUCCCCUAGCUCCCCUAAUCCAUAUCUUUCUCACAUCCAAAAUAUCUUCAUUCCAUCCUAAUAACCCCAAGAAGUCUUAAUUUGUUUCAGCAUCACCCUUAAAAGUCUAAGCUUCAAAGUCUUAUCUAAAUCAUGCUGGGUGAGGUGGCUCACGCCUGUAACUUUGGGAGCACUUUGGGAGGCUGAGGCAGGGGGAUCAUUUGAGGUCAGGAGUUCGAGAAAACCUGGCCAACAUGGAGAAACCCCAUCUCUACUAAAAAUACAAAAAUUAGCCAGGUGUGGUGGUGCAUGCCUUUAGUCCCAGCUACUUGGGAGGCUAAGGGAAGGGAACUGCUUGAACCCAGGAGGUGGAGGUUGCAGUAGUGAGCUGAGAUCACACCACUGUACUCCAGCCUGGGCAACAGAGCAAGACUCCACCUUAAAAAAACAAAGCAAAAGCCUUGUCUGGGAAAUCUGCUGGUCCCCUUAUUAAUUUUCUUUCUUUUUAGAUGGAGUCUCACUCUGUCACCCAGGCUGGAGUGUAGUGGUGUGAUCUCAGCUCACUUCAACCUCCAUCUCCCAGGUUCAAGCCAUUCUCAUGCCUCAGCCUCCUGAGUAGUUGGGACUACAGGCUGCACCACUGCAUCUGGCUAGUUUUGGUAUUUUUGUAGAGACAGGGUUUCACCAUGCUGACCAGGCUGGUCUCAAACUCCUGACCUCAGGUAAGCCACCUGUCUCAGUCUCCAAGUGCUGGAAUUACAGGCAAGAGCCACCACACCUGGCCCCAGACAAGGCUUUUAUUUCGGGGCUUGUGCCCCAGUACAAGGACGCUCCAGCUGACUCUCUGAAAAAAGCCAGUAGGAGUGCUUUUUUUUAAUUAGACAAAGUGUGGGAAUUGACAUCAGGGGUAAGGUUUGCAGGCUGAGCUGGUAGCACAUGAUGGGCAAGGCAUGCAAGUCGGCAUAUCUGGUUGCAAUGGUUAUCUUGGGUAAUGGACAAUUUAGUGGUCUGGCCGGUGACAAAAGGGCUGUAAAUCAAUUACUCAGCAUUUCUUCCUGAGGUGGAACACUCCCCAACCUCACUCUGAUAUUUAGAUUUUCUAAGGCCAGUUCCUGGAAUUUUUUUUUUUCUUUGAGACAGAGUCUCACUCUGUCCCCCAGGCUAGAGUGCAGUGGCACAAUCUUGGCUCACUGCAACCUCUGCUUCUGAAUUCAGUUCAAGCAAUUCUCGUGCCUCAGCCUCCAGAGUAGGUGGGACUACAAACGCAUGCCACCACACUCAGCUAAUUUUUUGUAUUUUUAGUAGAGACGGGAUUUUGCCAUGUUGCCCAGGCUGGUCUCGAACUCCUGAGCUCAGGUGACAGGUGAUCCACCCACCUUGGCCUCCCAAAGUGCUGGGAUUACAGGCACGAGCCACACACCUGGCUUAUUUCCUGGAAUUCUUUAAGUGAAAGGCAUGGUUAAACAUUAUGGCAUCAGUGAGGUAGUGGUGUGGGGUUUUUUGUUGUUGUUUUUUAAUUUUUGUGGGUACAUAGUAGGUGUAUUAUUUAUGGAUUACAUGAGAUGUUUUGAUAGUCAUGCAAUGUGUAAUAAUCACAUCAUAGAAAAUGGGGUAUCCAUCCCUUCAAGCACUUACCCUUUGUGUUAUAAGCAAUCUAGGAUGGGUGCAGUGGCUCAUACCUGUAAUCCCAGCACUUUGGGAGGCCGAGGCAGGUGAAUCACCUUAGGUCAGGAGUUCAAGAUCAGCCUGGCCAACAUGGUGAAACCCCCAUCUCUACUUAAAAAAAAAAAAAAAAAAAUUAGCCAGGUACGGUGGCGCUUGCCUAUAAUCCCAGCUACUCUGGAGCUGAGGAGGGAGAGUUGCUUAGAACCCAGGGGCAGAGGUUGCAGUGAGCCGAGAUCGUGCCACUAUAGUCCAGCCUGGGCAACAGAGUGAGACUUGGUCUCAAAAACAAAAACAAACAAACAAACAAACAAAAUCUAUACUUUUAGUUAUUCUUAUUUUUAAAUUUUAAUUAUUUUGAGACACAGUUUCGCUUUGUCACUAGGGCUGGAGUGUAGUUGCGUAAUCUCAACUCACUGCAACCUCUGCCACCUGGGUUCAAGUGACUCUCCUGCCUCAGCCUUCUGAGUAGCUGGGAUUACAGGCGCACACCACCACACCUGGAUAAUUUUUGUAUUUUUAGUAAAGGUGGGGUUUCACCAUGUUCGCCUGGCUGGUCUCAAACUCCUGACCUCAGGUGAUCCAAAAGCGCUGGGAUUACAGGCAUGAGCGACCAUGCCUGGCCAUUAUUUUUUUAAUUUUUAAUUUUUGUGGGUAGAUAGUAGGUGUAUAUAUUUAUGGGAUACUUUGAUACAGGUAUGCAAUGCAUAAUAAUCACAGGGUAAAGGGGGUAUCCAUCCCCUCAAGCAUUUAUUCUUUGUGUUACAAACAAUGCAAUUAUGCUCUUUAUUUUUAAAUUGAGGCUGGACACGGUAGCUCACCCAUGUAAUUCCAGCACUUUGGGUGGCUAAGGCAAGCGUAUUGCUUGUGCUCAGGAGUUUGAGACCAGCUUGGGCAAUGAGAUAAAACCCCGUCUCUACAAAAAAAUACAAAAAAAUUAGCCUGGUGUGGUGGCACACACCUGUGGUCCCAGCUACUCGGGAGGCUGAGGUGGGAGGAUUGCUUGAGCCCAGGUUGCUUGAGCCCAUGAGCUGAGACUGCACCACUGCACUCCAACCUGGGUGACAGAAUGAGACCUUGUCUCAAAAAAAAAAAAAAAAAAGUACAAUAAAUCUUUGAUUGUAGUCACCCUGUUGUGCUAUCAAAUACUAGAUCUUAUUCCUUCUAUCUAAUUAUAUUGUUGUAUCCAUUAGCCAUCCCCCCCAACCCCCACUACCCUUCCUAGCCUCUGAUAACCAUUCUUCAAAUCUCUACCUCCAUUAAUUAAGUUGUUUUAAUUUUUUUUUAUUUUUUUUUUGAGACAGAGUCUCACUCUGUUACCCAGGCUGGAGUACAGUGGCACGAUCUCAGCUCACUGAAACCUCCGCCUCCCGGGUUCAAGCAAUUCUCCUGCCUCAACCUCCCAAGUAGCUGGGAUACAGUUGCCUGCCACCACACCCAGCUACUUUUUGCAUUUUUAGUAGAAAUGGGGUUUCACCAUGUUGGCCAGGCUGGUCUUGAAUUCCUGACCUCAUGAUCCACCCUCCUUGGCCUCCCAAAGUGCUGGGAUUACAGGCGUGAGCCACUGAGCCUGGCCAAUUUUUAUUUCUGAAACAUUUAUUAUUAAUGUGAUGGGAAAAUUACACAGAAUAUAUGUUCAUUUCUUAUAAAGUUAAGUCUUCCAGAACCUGGUUUAACAAAAAACUGAGGUUAAAUUCAGGUCUCAAAUAUAGAAACUUAAACUUUUCUUGAAAUCCAAUUAAAAAUGUAGAUCUAGGCUGGGCGAGGUGGCUCACGCCUGUAAUCCCAGCACUUUGGGAGGCUGAGGUGGGCAAGGUCAGGAGAUUGAGACCAUCCUGGCUAACACGGUGAAACCCUGUCUCUACUAAAAAAUACAAAAAAUUAGCCCAGCUACUCGGGAGGCAGAGGAAGGCGAAUGGCAUGAACCCAGGAGGCGGAGCUUGCAGUGAGCCUAGAUGGCGCCACUGCACUCCAGCCUGGGUGACAGAGCGAGACUCCGUCUCAAAAAAAAAAAAAAAAAAAAAAAGUAGAUCUAAAUAGAGUCAGUCUUUUAAGAAAAAAAUCACACAUUUUAGCCUCAGUCAGAUUUCACUUUAUUUGUAUCGAUGACAAUAUUAACUCUUCAGAUUUAUAAAAUGACAAAACUUGAUAAUUACCUGGAAACAA
rnacentral:lncRNA from 1 species